AGCAAUUUCGUUAUGAGCAGAUCUGUAGAAAUUAGUCAUGUCAUUGUCCAGCUCAGUUCAGUUCUCAUUCUAAUGGCAUCAGUUCAUCAUUCAUAAUAAUGGAAUGAACAAAAUUCCACUGAAUAUGCUGUUUGUUUUUUAUUUGUUUCCAGGAGAGCAUCAACCCAUUGAAAAGUGUUCAACAUACAGUCUCCCACUCUUUGCAACAGAGGAAGCAUUAGGAAAGAGGAGAAGAGAGACAGUGAAAAAGCACUCGACAGAUGUUGAGGGUGUUCGGGUUCCUUGCCACUGCUGACUUUUGGCUUUCUUAUUUAGCGGGGCUUGGUUGGGAACGUGGACAUGAAGGAGAGCAAGCACGUCACGUUAAGAUCUUAUGUCUCCAGUGUAGGCAGCCGCCAUUUUCUCAUCGUGAAAGAAGCGAGAAGCGAGUGAAACACAUUAUGGUAAGUAAAGAUUCCAAAUGUAAAGUUAUCAUUUAUUGUUUACCCAGUUUUAUGAAAGGCAGAAGGUUUUAAUCAAAGGCGGAAAACAAAGGAGCUUAACAUUAUAUUGAAAAAUACACGGACGUGGUUUUCACCUCAGAAACAGAGGUAUUAACGGCCUCCUUUAGCAUUACUGAACGGAAGAGGUACUUUAAAUAUAACGUCCGUGAAUGUCUUGUCAUAUUUACAUAAUAUUUUACAAUUUUGAGGUGUCAAUAGAUGGUUAUGGUUAACGUUACACUCAUGUUAAUUUGUUAUCUUAUUUUUCGCGGUUAAACUUAAUGUACGUAA